UGGAAGCUAAAGCAGAAGGGCUCAUGCCUGAAACGUCGAAUUUCCUGUUCCUUGGAUGCUGCCUGACCUGCUGCGCUUUAACCAGCAACACAUUUUCAGCUCUGAUCUCCAGCAUCUGCAGACCUCACUUUUUACUGCCAACCUAUGAUUUACAAAUGCUGCCAGAUCUGUUCAGCUUCUCCAGCAAUUUGUUUUUGUUACAAGUUUAUGUCCUCAAAAUGAAACUGUCCAGUUCUACUGUAUAUACUGGAGUAAAAGUCAAUUUUUUAGAUCAAAAUUUAUGUGGUUGACUUUUACAAGAACAAUGUUAUGAAGGGUUGAUCCGUGCGCUUGAUUUGGCCCCAAGUGAAAUCCAAAAAGGACCACUGCAAUGGAAUAAAAUAAUAAAAAUAUAAAUAAUUUA